rnacentral:rRNA from 1 species
GAUAAACGCUGGCGGCGUGCCUAACACAUGCAAGUCGAACGCCCUGCGCAAGCAGGGAGUGGCGGACGGGUGAGCAACACGUGGAGACCUACCCCCGGGUGAGGAAUACCGGCGAGAAAUCGCCGACAAGACCGCAUACGCUUCUCCGGAAGCAAAGUUCGCAAGAACGCCCGAGGAUGGCUCUGCGCCCGAUUAGCUGGUUGGUGGGGUAAAAGCCUACCAAGGCGACGAUCGGUAGCUGGUCUGAGAGGAUGAUCAGCCACACUGGGAUUGAGAA